CCGUAGCCCAAGAGAUCGGGAUAACACCUGGAAGCAGAUGCUAAUACCGGAUAACAACAGAUGAUGCCUAUCAACUGUUUAAAAGAUGGUUCUGCUAUCACUCUUGGAUGGACCUGCGGUGCAUUAGCUAGUUGGUAGGGUAACGGCCUACCAAGGCGAUGAUGCAUAGCCGAGUUGAGAGACUGAUCGGCCACAUUGGGACUGAGACACGGCCCAAACUCCUACGGGAGGCAGCAGUA
rnacentral:rRNA from 1 species